rnacentral:rRNA from 1 species
UACCCCCACACAUGCAAGUCGAGCGGUAGAGAGAAGCUUGCUUCUCUUGAGAGCGGCGGACGGGUGAGUAAUGCCUAGGAAUCUGCCUGGUAGUGGGGGAUAACGUUCGGAAACGGACGCUAAUACCGCAUACGUCCUACGGGAGAAAGCAGGGGACCUUCGGGCCUUGCGCUAUCAGAUGAGCCUAGGUCGGAUUAGCUAGUUGGUGGGGUAAUGGCUCACCAAGGCGACGAUCCGUAACUGGUCUGAGAGGAUGAUCAGUCACACUGGAACUGAGACACGGUCCAGACUCCUACGGGAGGCAGCAGUGGGGAAUAUUGGACAAUGGGCGAAAGCCUGAUCCAGCCAUGCCGCGUGUGUGAAGAAGGUCUUCGGAUUGUAAAGCACUUUAAGUUGGGAGGAAGGGCAGUUACCUAAUACGUGAUUGUUUUGACGUUACCGACAGAAUAAGCACCGGCUAACUCUGUGCCAGCAGCCGCGGUAAUACAGAGGGUGCAAGCGUUAAUCGGAAUUACUGGGCGUAAAGCGCGCGUAGGUGGUUUGUUAAGUUGGAUGUGAAAUCCCCGGGCUCAACCUGGGAACUGCAUUCAAAACUGACUGACUAGAGUAUGGUAGANGGUGGUGGAAUUUCCUGUGUAGCGGUGAAAUGCGUAAUAUAGGAAGGAACACCAAUGGGCGAA